UGAGCAAUCUGCCCCUGACUCUGGGGAUAAGCGCUGGAAACGGCGUCUAAUACCGGAUACGAGCUGCGAAGGCAUCUUCAGCAGCUGGAAAGAACUUCGGUCAGGGAUGAGCUCGCGGCCUAUCAGCUAGUUGGUGAGGUAAUGGCUCACCAAGGCGUCGACGGGUAGCCGGCCUGAGAGGGUGACCGGCCACACUGGGACUGAGACACGGCCCAGACCUCCGG
rnacentral:rRNA from 1 species